CCUACGGGGUGCAGCAGUGGGGAAUAUUGGGCAAUGGACGCAAGUCUGACCCAGCAACGCCGCGUGAAGGAAGAAGGCUUUCGGGUUGUAAACUUCUUUUAAGGGGGAAGAGCAGAAGACGGUACCCCUUGAAUAAGCCACGGCUAACUACGUGCCAGCAGCCGCGGUAAUACGUAGGUGGCAAGCGUUGUCCGGAUUUACUGGGUGUAAAGGGCGUGCAGCCGGAGAGACAAGUCAGAUGUGAAAUCCGCAGGCUCAACCUGCGAACUGCAUUUGAAACUGUUUCCCUUGAGUAUCGGAGAGGUCAUCGGAAUUCCUAGUGUAGCGGUGAAAUGCGUAGAUAUCAGGAGGAACACCGGUGGCGAAGGCGGCCUGCUGGACUGCAACUGACGUUGAGGCCCGAAAGCGUGGGGAGCAAACAGGAUUAGAUACCCGGGUAGUC
rnacentral:rRNA from 1 species